rnacentral:rRNA from 1 species
GACGAACGCUGGCGGCGUGCUUAACACAUGCAAGUCGAACGGAAAGGCCCUGCUUUUGUGGGGUGCUCGAGUGGCGAACGGGUGAGUAACACGUGAGUAACCUGCCCUUGACUUUGGGAUAACUUCAGGAAACUGGGGCUAAUACCGGAUAGGAGCUCCUGCUGCAUGGUGGGGGUUGGAAAGUUUCGGCGGUUGGGGAGGGACUCGCGGCUUAUCAGCUUGUUGGUGGGGUAGUGGCUUACCAAGGCUUUGACGGGUAGCCGGCCUGAGAGGGUGACCGGCCACAUUGGGACUGAGAGACGGCCCAGACUCCUACGGGAGGCAGCGGUGGGGAAUAUUGCACAAUGGGCGGAAGCCUGAUGCAGCAACGCAGCGUGCGGGAUAACGGCCUUCGGGUUUUAAACCGCUUUCGCCUGUGACGAAGCGUGAGUGACGGUAAUGGGUAAAGAAGCACCGGCUAACUACGUG